GAAAUGCGAUAAGUAAUGUGAAUUGCAGAAUUCAGUGAAUCAUCGAAUCUUUGAACGCACAUUGCUCCCGCCAGUAUUCUGGCGGGCAUGCCUGUUCGAGCGUCAUUACAACCCUCAGGCCCCCGGGCCUGGCGUUGGGGAUCGGCGGAAGCCCCCUGCGGGCACAACGCCGUCCCCCAAAUACAGUGGCGGUCCCGCCGCAGCUUCCAUUGCGUAGUAGCUAACACCUCGCAACUGGAGAGCGGCGCGGCCACGCCGUAAAACACCCAACUUCUGAAUGUUGACCUCGAAUCAGGUAGGAAUACCCGCUGAACUUAAGC
rnacentral:misc_RNA from 1 species